rnacentral:rRNA from 1 species
AUUGAACGCUGGCGGCAGGCUUAACACAUGCAAGUCGAGCGGUAACAGAGAGAAGCUUGCUUCUCUGCUGACGAGCGGCGGACGGGUGAGUAAUGCCUAGGAAUCUGCCUAUGUAGUGGGGGAUAACUUGCCGAAAGGUAAGCUAAUACCGCAUACGCCCUACGGGGGAAAGCAGGGGACUCUUCGGAGCCUUGCGCUAUUAGAUGAGCCUAGGUCGGAUUAGCUAGUUGGUGAGGUAAAGGCUCACCAAGGCUGCGAUCCGUAACUGGUCUGAGAGGAUGAUCAGUCACACUGGAACUGAGACACGGUCCAGACUCCUACGGGAGGCAGCAGUGGGGAAUAUUGGACAAUGGGGGCAACCCUGAUCCAGCCAUGCCGCGUGUGUGAAGAAGGUCUUCGGAUUGUAAAGCACUUUAAUUUGGGAGGAAGGGUUUACACCUAAUACGUGUGAACUUUGACGUUACCAAAAGAAUAAGCACCGGCUAACUUCGUGCCAGCAGCCGCGGUAAUACGAAGGGUGCGAGCGUUAAUCGGAAUUACUGGGCGUAAAGCGCGCGUAGGUGGUUCGUUAAGUUAGGAGUGAAAGCCCCGGGCUCAACCUGGGAAUUGCUUCUAAAACUAGCGGGCUAGAGUACGGUAGAGGGUGGGUGGAAUUUCCUGUGUAGCGGUGAAAUGCGUAGAUUUAGGAAGGAACAUCAGUGGCGAAGGCGACCACCUGGACUGGUACUGACACUGAGGUGCGAAAGCGUGGGGAGCAAACAGG